GAUGAAGAACGUAGCGAAAUGCGAUAAGUAGUGUGAAUUGCAGAAUUCAGUGAAUCAUCGGAUCUUUGAACGCACAUUGCGCCCCUUGGUAUCCCGAGGGGCAUGCCUGUUCGAGCGUCAUUUCACCACUCAAGCCUGGCUUGGUGUUGGGCGACGUCCUCUUUGGGGACGCGCCUCGAAACGCUCGGCGGCGUGGCACCGGCUUUAAGCGUAGCAGAAUCUUUCGCUUUGGAAGUCGGGGCCCCGUCUGCCGGAAGACCUGCUCGCAAGGUUGACCUCGGAUCAGGCAGGGAUACCCGCUGAACUUAAGCAUAUCAAUAAGCGGAGGA
rnacentral:misc_RNA from 1 species